UACGUAGGGUGCAAGCGUUGUCCGGAAUUAUUGGGCGUAAAGAGCUCGUAGGCGGCCUGUUGCGUCCGCUGUGAAAUCCCCGGGGCUCAACCCCGGGCUUGCAGUGGAUACGGGCUGGCUAGAGGCAGGCAGGGGGAGAACGGAAUUCCCGGUGUAGCGGUGAAAUGCGCAGAUAUCGGGAGGAACACCGGUGGCGAAGGCGGUUCUCUGGGCCUGUACUGACGCUGAGGAGCGAAAGCGUGGGGGAGCGAACAGG
rnacentral:rRNA from 1 species